CCCAAGGUAGCAAAUUUCCUUGUCGUCCAAAUAACGACCUGCAUGAAAGAUAGAACGAUUCGAUAGCUGUCUUGCAGAUAUGUGCUGGUAAAAUAUUAGGUAGUGUGAAGAUACCCUAACAACGUUAUAGGACAAAAAGACCCUGUGAACCUUUAUAGGGAUAAAAUUUAGUACAGCUUUAUUUUCAUCUUCAUUUCAUGGUCUAUUCCAUUCAUUGAGAAUACAAUAAGAUAAAUCUUCUUAUCACACACUACAUGGGCUGUUUAAUUGGGGCGAUAACCUUCUUUAAUCAAACCAAAGGUGAACAAAGCUAUUGAUACAUACUUUGAUAAAGGACUAGUAAGUACAAAGAUAGAACUAUAGCUUAAUGGUCAAGCUUUGUUUGAUCCAGUAUUUAAAUGGUAUCUUAAUGACCUUCAAAUUAAUCUACCAAAUAAAAGCUACUCAAGGGAUAACAGGCUUAAUUAAAAUUAGAGCUCACAUUAAACUUAGGGUUUGGCACCUCGAUGUCGGCUUAUCUUUUCAAAAAUCUGUACUAAGCUUACUGGUCGGAGUGCUCAUCCCAUAACAAGGUA
rnacentral:rRNA from 1 species